rnacentral:rRNA from 1 species
AAUAUUGGACAAUGGGGGAAAGCGGGAUCCAGCCAGCCCGCGUGAUGAAGGAAGCUGUAGGGAUGAUAAACCACUUUAAAUUGGGAGGAAUGGCAUUAGCAUAAUACUUUAGUGUUUUGACGUUACGGAAAAAAGAAGCACCGGCUAACUUCGUGCCAGCAGCCGCGGUAAUGUGAAGGGUGCAAGCGUUAAUCGGAAUUACUGGGCGUAAAGCGCGCGUAGGUGGUUUGAUAAGUUGGAUGUGAAAGCCCCGGGCUCAACCUGGGAACUGCAUCCAAAACUGGCAAGCUAGAGUACGGGAGAGGGUGGUGGAAUUUCGUGUGUAGCGGUGAAAUGCGUAGAUAUGGAAAAGAACCACCGGGGAAGGCGGCACUAUGGGCCUAUACUGACACUGAGGAGCGAAAGCAUGGGGAGCAAACAGGAUUAGAUACCCUGGUAGUCCAUGCCGUA